rnacentral:pre_miRNA from 1 species
UUGCACCUUCCCAUUCCUCUUAGUCCAGAAGUCAUAUAUCUACCCCACAACAUGUGUUAAAACAUAACUUUUAAUAAAAAUGAUUAUUAUUAUUUUUCUUUCUCUUUCUUAAUGAUAUUUAUUAAAAGUUAUGUUUUAACACAUGUUGUGGGGUAGAUAUAUGACUGUGUUUUUGGACUAAGAGGGAUGGAAAGGUGCAA